rnacentral:rRNA from 1 species
UGGCGGACGGGUGAGUAAUGUCUGGGAAACUGCCUGGUGGAGGGGGAUAACUACUGGAAACGGUAGCUAAUACCGCAUAACGUCGCAAGACCAAAGAGGGGGACCUUAGGGCCUCUUGCCAUCGGAUGUGCCCAGAUGGGAUUAGCUAGUAGGUGGGGUAAUGGCUCACCUAGGCGACGAUCCCUAGCUGGUCUGAGAGGAUGACCAGCCACACUGGAACUGAGACACGGUCCAG